rnacentral:rRNA from 1 species
UACAGAGGGUGCAAGCGUUGUUCGGAAUUAUUGGGCGUAAAGGGCGCGUAGGCGGCUUUGCAAGUGACGGGUGAAAUCCCUCGGCUUAACCGAGGAACGGCCGUCCAAACUGCUUCGCUUGAGACCGGGAGAGGUGAGUGGAAUUCCCAGUGUAGCGGUGAAAUGCGUAGAUAUUGGGAGGAACACCAGUGGCGAAGGCGGCUCACUGGACCGGUACUGACGCUGAAGCGCGAAAGCGUGGGGAGCAAACGGG